rnacentral:rRNA from 1 species
ACGCGAAGAACCUUACCAGGUCUUGACAUCCUCUGACAAUCCUAGAGAUAGGACGUCCCCUUCGGGGGCAGAGUGACAGGUGGUGCAUGGUUGUCGUCAGCUCGUGUCGUGAGAUGUUGGGUUAAGUCCCGCAACGAGCGCAACCCUUGAUCUUAGUUGCCAGCAUUCAGUUGGGCACUCUAAGGUGACUGCCGGUGACAAACCGGAGGAAGGUGGGGAUGACGUCAAAUCAUCAUGCCCCUUAUGACCUGGGCUACACACGUGCUACAAUGGACAGAACAAAGGGCAGCGAAACCGCGAGGUUAAGCCAAUCCCACAAAUCUGUUCUCAGUUCGGAUCGCAGUCUGCAACUCGACUGCGUGAAGCUGGAAUCGCUAGUAAUCGCGGAUCAGCAUGCCGCGGUGAAUACGUUCCCGGGCCUUG